rnacentral:rRNA from 1 species
CCUGGUAUCUUAGGCAUAGGUUAAGUACACCAACCCUUUUUGAACUUGGUGGUUAAAACUUAUUGCGGUGACAAUACUGUAGGAGGGGUCCUACGGAAAAAAAGCUCGAUGCCAGAA